rnacentral:rRNA from 1 species
CCUACGGGGUGCAGCAGUGGGGAAUUUUGGACAAUGGGCGCAAGCCUGAUCCAGCUAUUCCGCGUGUGGGAAGACGGCCUUCGGGUUGUAAACCACUUUUGUAGAGAACGAAAAGUCUGUUGAUAAUACCGAUAGAUGAUGACGGUACUCUAAGAAUAAGCACCGGCUAACUACGUGCCAGCAGCCGCGGUAAUACGUAGGGUGCGAGCGUUAAUCGGAAUUACUGGGCGUAAAGGGUGUGCAGGCGGUUUUGCAAGAUGGAUGUGAAAGCCCCGGGCUUAACCUGGGAAAGACAUACAGGACUGCAAGACUAGAGUGCGUCAGAGGGGGGUGGAAUUCCAAGUGUAGCAGUGAAAUGCGUAGAUAUUUGGAAGAACACCGAUGGCGAAGGCAGCCCCCUGGGACGCAACUGACGCUCAUACACGAAAGCGUGGGGAGCAAACAGGAUUAGAUACCCCAGUAGUC